rnacentral:rRNA from 1 species
UACGUAGGGUGCGAGCGUUGUCCGGAAUUAUUGGGCGUAAAGAGCUUGUAGGCGGUUUGUCGCGUCUGACGUGAAAAUCCGGGGCUCAACCCCGGACUUGCGGUGGGUACGGGCAGACUAGAGUGUGGUAGGGGAGACUGGAAUUCCUGGUGUAGCGGUGAAAUGCGCAGAUAUCAGGAGGAACACCGAUGGCGAAGGCAGGUCUCUGGGCCACUACUGACGCUGAGAAGCGAAAGCGUGGGGAGCGAACAGG